UACGGAGGGUGCAAGCGUUAUCCGGAUUCACUGGGUUUAAAGGGUGCGUAGGUGGGUUGGUAAGUCAGUGGUGAAAUCUCCGUGCUUAACAUGGAAACUGCCAUUGAUACUACUGAUCUUGAAUUUUCAGGAGGUAAGCGGAAUAUGGUCAUGUAGCGGUGAAAAUGCUUAGAUAUGACAUAGAACACCAAUUGCGAAGGCAGCUUCUACAGGAAUAUUGACACUGAUGCACGAAAGCGUGGGGAUCAAACAGG
rnacentral:rRNA from 1 species